rnacentral:lncRNA from 1 species
AAAAAGAACAUAUGCAAUAACAAACAAAAUAAAUCACAAUUGUUCAAUAAAUCUAGAAUUUAAUCUUAGUGCUUAACAAUCCAACAGAAGAGAAACAUGAUAAAACUAGAGAUAAUACAGGGACAUAAAAGAGUACCAAAUCAGUUGUUUAUUUCAUUUGCGCCCCCCAUAAUAUGAUCAACCGCACAAGAAGAAGCAACACCUUCAAGACAUCAAACGUGUAAUCUCAUAAGAAAAGGCAUAAACAUACUACAUCCGUUUCAGUUUACAAGUCCUACACGUAUACCUAGGUUGCCAAUUUGAUCACCUUAAUAUAAACUAUAUAACACAAAAACUAUAUCUUUUAAAAAUAGAACAUCUAAAGUUUAUAUUGGUAUACUUUUUGUAAUAUAUGACUUGUAUUAGGUUGGUCAAAUUGACGAUCUAGGGGUAUGCGCACGCCCUGUAAACUGAGAGAGAGGUAGUAGUGAAAUAAUAAUGAUUAAUUAAAAUCCAAAAACUUACCUAUACGAGGAGUUAAAAGCCCUCCGCGAUCCCUAUAAAAGCUCGAAAGCCAUAUAAAAUAUCAUUCUCAGGAAUACUUGCCGACAAAUAUCUCUUCAUCUUCUCUUUCUGCAAUAUGAAAUGAAUUGACAUAAAAAUGCUUCAGUUUCAAAUCGAUAAUACAUAUAGAAUUAGGCAGGAACAAUGACUGAAUAGUUGGUUCAGGGUUUAGUUAAACAUUCUUCAUAUCAUACAUAAAACAGGGGAUAUACAUCAAUUAAAUCCGAG